rnacentral:rRNA from 1 species
ACGAACGUUGGCGGCGUGCCUAAUACAUGCAAGUCAACUGAAAUACCGGUAGCAAUACUGGUAUGGAGGCGGCGCACGGGUGAGUAACACGUAGGUAAUCUGCCUUCAGGUCUGACAUAACCCAUCGAAAGGUGAGCUAAUAUCAGAUGAUGCAGCGGCUUGACAUCAAGACAGUUGUUAAAGCUUCGGCGCCUGAAGAUGAGCCUGCGUCUGAUUAGCUAGUUGGCGGGGUAACGGCCCACCAAGGCUGCGAUCAGUAGCUGGUCUGAGAGGAUGAUCAGUCACACCGGAACUGAGACACGGUCCAGACUCCUACGGGAGGCAGCAGUAAGGAAUAUUGCUCAAUGGCCGAAAGGCUGAAGCAGCAACGCCGCGUGAGGGAUGAAGGGCUUUUGCUU